rnacentral:rRNA from 1 species
UGAAACAUCUAAGUACCCGGAGGAAAAGAAAUCAAACGAGAUGCCCACAGUAGCGGCGAGCGAAGAGGGCAGAGCCCAAACCUGUAAGCUACGGCUUAUGGGGGUUGAGGACUGACGUAAUUAAGGCCAGGCUUAGCUGAACUACCUGGGAAGGUAGGCGAUAGAAGGUAAGAGCCCUGUAAGCGAAAAGCAGAGCCUUAAGGUCAGUAUCCAGAGUACCACGGAGCACGAGGAAUUCUGUGGGAAGCAGGGGGGACCACCCUCCAAGGCUAAAGACUAACUGGCGACCGAUAGCGCAUAGUACCGUGAGGGAAAGGUGAAAAGAACCCCGGGAGGGGAGUGAAAUAGUACCUGAAACCGUAUGUCUACAAGCAGUCGGAGCGAAAGCGACGGCGUGCCUAUUGAAGAAUGAACCAACGAGUUAUCUGCACUAGCGAGGUUAAGUGGAAGACACGGAGCCGUAGCGAAAGCGAGUCUGAAAAGGGCGACGAGUUAGUGUAGGUAGACCCGAAACCGCAGUGAUCUACCCAUGUCCAGGUUGAAGCGCAGGUAAAAAUGCGUGGAGGACCGAACCGGUGAGCGUUGAAAAGCUUUCGGAUGAGAUGUGGGUAGGGGUGAAAUUCCAACCGAACGCGGAGAUAGCUGGUUCUCCCCGAAAUAGCUUUAGGGCUAGCCUCAGGUAGUAAGUAUAGGCGGUAGAGCACUGAUCGGGCUAGGGGCCAUAAAGGUUACCGAACCCUGUCAAACUCCGAAUGGAUAUACUGCAGAGCCUGGGAGUCAGACUACGAGUGAUAAGAUCCGUGGUCAAAAGGGAAACAGCCCAGACCACCGGCUAAGGUCCCAAAUGCCGUACUAAGUGGAAAAGGAUGUGGGGAUUCAUAAACAACCAGGAUGUUGGCUCAGAAGCAGCCACCAUUUAAAGAGUGCGUAAUAGCUCACUGGUCGAGAGUCCCUGCGCCGAAAAUUUCCGGGGCUAAAGUACGGAACCGAAGCCGUGGCUGUGUACUAAGUACACGGGGUAGGGGAGCGUUGCCACAGGGGUGAAGCUGGUCUGGAAGGACUGGUGGACUUGUGGGAAGUGAGAAUGUUGGUAUGAGUAGCGAAAAGAAAGGUGAGAAUCCUUUCCACCGAAAGCAUAAGGAUUCCUGAGCAACGAUCGUCGUCUCAGGGUAAGUCGGGACCUAAUCCGAGGCAAAGAGCGUAGGAGAUGGACAACAGGUUGAUAUUCCUGUACCGGCAGCAAUUGUUUGAGCGAAGGAGUGACACAGAAGGGCAGGCAGGCGCGAGACUGGAUUGUCGCGUGCAAGCGUGUAGGGUAGUGUACAGGCAAAUCCGUACACUCUGGGCCUGAGGCGUUACGCGGAGCGAGCAGAGAUGCGAGCGAAGCUGCUGAUCCCACACUGUCGAGAAAAGCUUCUAGUGAGAGAGCUGCCGCCCGUACCGUAAACCGACACAGGUAUGCGGGGAGAGAAUCCUAAGGUGCGCGGGAGAACCCUCGUUAAGGAACUCGGCAAAAUGUACCCGUAACUUCGGGAUAAGGGUAGCCGUCUUGGUGAAGGAACUUGCUUCUGGAGCUGAAGGCGGUCGCAGAGAAGAGGCCCAAGCGACUGUUUACCACAAACACAGGUGCCUGCUAAAGCGAAAGCUGACGUAUAGGUGCUGACACCUGCCCAGUGCUGGAAGGUUAAGGAAGGAUGUCCGGGCAACCAAAGCAUUCGACCGAAGCCCCAGUGAACGGCGGCCGUAACUAUAACGGUCCUAAGGUAGCGAAAUUCCUUGUCGGGUAAGUUCCGACCCGCACGAAAGGUGUAACGAUUUGGGCACUGUCUCAACGAGGGACCCGGUGAAAUUGAAAUACCUGUGAAGAUGCAGGUUACCCGCGACUGGACAGAAAGACCCCAUGGAGCUUUACUGUAACCUGACAUUGGGUUUUGUUGUAUUACGUACAGGAUAGGUGGGAGGCUUGGAAGGCUGGACGCUAGUCUGGCUGGAGCCGGCGUUGGGAUACCACCCUUGAUACAACGGAAUUCUAACCGAGAGAGUAACGAAAUCCGGGACAGUGUCAGGCGGGCAGUUUGACUGGGGCGGU